ensembl:rRNA 5S_rRNA 5S ribosomal RNA
AUCUACCGCCAUACCACCCUGAAUGCGCCCGACCUUGUCUGAUCUCAGAAGCUAAGCAGGGUCGGUCUUGGUUAGUACUUGGAUGGGAGACUGAGGCUGAGAGAGUUU